rnacentral:rRNA from 1 species
UGGGGAAUUUUGGACAAUGGGCGAAAGCCUGAUCCAGCAAUGCCGCGUGUGUGAAGAAGGCCUUCGGGUUGUAAAGCACUUUUGUCCGGAAAGAAAUCCUUGGCUCUAAUACAGUCGGGGGAUGACGGUACCGGAAGAAUAAGCACCGGCUAACUACGUGCCAGCAGCCGCGGUAAUACGUAGGGUGCAAGCGUUAAUCGGAAUUACUGGGCGUAAAGCGUGCGCAGGCGGUUUGCUAAGACCGAUGUGAAAUCCCCGGGCUCAACCUGGGAACUGCAUUGGUGACUGGCAGGCUAGAGUAUGGCAGAGGGGGGUAGAAUUCCACGUGUAGCAGUGAAAUGCGUAGAGAUGUGGAGGAAUACCGAUGGCGAAGGCAGCCCCCUGGGCCAAUACUGACGCUCAUGCACGAAAGCGUGGGGAGCAAACAGGAUUAGAUACCCCCGGUAGUCCACGCCCUAAACGAUGUCAACUGUUGUUGGGGAUUCAUUUCCUUAGUAACGUAGCUAACGCGUGAAGUUGACCGCCUGGGGAGUACGGUCGCAAGAUUAAAACUCAAAUGAAUUGAC